CCUACGGGAGACUGCAGUGGGGAAUAUUGCACAAUGGGGGAAACCCUGAUGCAGCGACGCCGCGUGAGUGAAGAAGUCAUUCGUUAUGUAAAGCUCUAUCAGCAGGGAAGAAAAUGACGGUACCUGAGUAAGAAGCCCCGGCUAACUACGUGCCAGCAGCCGCGGUACUACGUAGGGGGCAAGCGUUAUCCGGAUUUACUGGGUGUAAAGGGAGCGUAGACGGCAGUGCAAGUCUGGAGUGAAAGGCGGGGGCUCAACCCGCGGACUGCUCUGGAAACUGUACGGCUGGAGUGCAGGAGAGGUAAGUGGAAUUCCUAGUGUAGCGGUGAAAUGCUUAGAUAUUAGGAGGAACACCAGUGGCGAAGACGGCUUACUGGACUGUAACUGACGUUGAGGCUCGAAAGCGUGGGGAGCAAACAGGAUUAGAUACCCUUGUAGUC
rnacentral:rRNA from 1 species